CCUACGGGAGGCAGCAGUGGGGGAUAUUGCACAAUGGGGGGAACCCUGAUGCAGCGACGCCGCGUGGGUGAAGGAGUGUUUCGGCGCGUAAAGCCCUAUCGGCAGGGAAGAAGAUGCCGGUACCUGACCAAGAAGCCCCGGCUAACUACGUGCCAGCAGCCGCGGUCAUACGUAGGGGGCAAGCGUUAUCCGGAUUUACUGGGUGUAACGGGGGCGUAGACGGCAAUGCAAGCCUGGAGUGAAAGCCCGGGGCCCAACCCCGGGACUGCUCUGGGAACUGGCUAGCUGGAGUACAGGAGGGGCAAGCGGAAUUCCUAGUGUAGCGGUGAAAUGCGUAGAUAUUAGGAGGAACACCAGUGGCGAAGGCGGCUUGCUGGACUGUAACUGACGUUGAGGCCCGAAAGCGUGGGGAGCAAACAGGAUUAGAUACCCUUGUAGUC
rnacentral:rRNA from 1 species